rnacentral:misc_RNA from 1 species
GAUGAAGAACGUAGCGAAAUGCGAUACGUAAUGUGAAUUGCAGAAUUCAGUGAAUCAUCGAAUCUUUGAACGCACAUUGCGCCUGCCAGCACUCUGGCAGGCAUGCCUGUUCGAGCGUCAUUUCAACCAUCAAGCCCUAGGCUUGCGUUGGAGCCCUGCGGCUGCCGCAGGCCCCUAAAAGCAGUGGCGGGCUCGCUAUCACACCGAGUGCAGUAGAUUACUCUUCGCUCAGGGCGUGUGGCGGGUUCCAGCCGUGAAACCCCCUACUUCUCAAGGUUGACCUCGGAUCAGGUAGGAAUACCCGCUGAACUUAAGCAUAUCAUAAGCGGAGGA